UUUUCCGAGUUCCCUAGAGAGAAGGGGUGCCUCCUCACAAAGGGGGUCACAGUGACCAGGCCCGGGUGACUGUUUA